UCCCCUGGUAAUCACGUAAGAGUUAUCUGUCGUUUCCGCGCGCAGUGUCAAAAUGGCAGCGACAUAUGCGUUGACGAAUAAGAAAAUGAUGUUAGGAGAAACGGUGAUAUACCCGAGGGAAAGAAAGCAAAAGUUGGCAGGAAUGGGGUAUAUACUAAAGGUGCAGGGGAAACUGAAGUCUGAACAAGUCUAGCGGUCUGGGCCCCUGUAACUGUUACGGUCAACUGGCAAACAGUCCAGAAGAUAAAUUUCCUGACACGCGUUACAGAGAAAUCAUUGGUAGUGUGAACAGAUUUUACUGACAGAUCAAAGAGAAUACAAGUUAACGAGAAAAUUAUAAUAAUCUGAACCUGUCAUAUAUCAUUCAUCACAACACAAUGCGCGUCAAGUAUGUCAAGUCGGCAACUUUGGAACAUUCAGAAUGACUUUGUUCGGCCCAACCUUUUUGUCCACCAUGAGGCAAGGUUGUAUACGAGUGUUCAUAGGGCCAGUAUACAUCAGAUCAAGUGAAGGAAUCAAGGUUCAAGAGGAUUACAAGCUCAGUGCAAGUCUAAUAAACUUUUACAAGUAACUACAUCUUGUAAACAUUUACACAUCAUGGGUUAUGGAGACGAAUUUGAAAAAAGAACCUGGUAUUUUGUUGGUUGCAAUGUCAUUAAGCAAAACGUCUUCCCUGAAUCUCUUCUUACUAUGCUGCAGUACAAUGUACCGGUAUUUCUUGUGUUUUGUCCGAAAAAAUGUCCAGCAAUAACCAUAACUCUGUACGGACUUCGAGCUUAUAUAGAAUUGGAGAUUUUGUAUUGCUGGUUGGGGUUACUUUAUGCUUGUUUUAUAUGCAUUUAUUUUGAAUUAGUGUUUCUAUUUUAGCUGAAUAGGUCUUUACUAGCAUAACAUAGUCAUUUUAAAUUAGGCUAAAUAGUUGAGUCCUCAGUUUGCAAAUACAGACCGAGUAACAAGGUCUUGAUCAAACAUGCCAUGUCCUGUAUUGUUUCUAAUUAAGAAUCAAUGACUAAGACCAAAUUUAACGGCUGUCAGAUAUAUUGUGUAUUAAACAAUAGAUACUGUAAGAUGUGCGAAGAAACAAUGAGAAGUGAUUUAAGACCCAAUGUCUUGUCAAAGAAAUAGGAA